GCAUGCUUUACACAUGCAAGUCGGACGGCAGCACAAAGAAGCUUGCUUCUUGGGUGGCGAGUGGCGAACGGGUGAGUAACGCAUCGGAACGUACCGAGUAGUGGGGGAUAACUGUCCGAAAGGAUGGCUAAUACCGCAUACGCUUUGAGAAGGAAAGCGGGGGAUCUUCGGACCUCGCGCUAUUCGAGCGGCCGAUGUCUGAUUAGCUGGUUGGUGGGGUAAAGGCCUACCAAGGCGACGAUCAGUAGCGGGUCUGAGAGGAUGAUCCGCCACACUGGGACUGAGACACGGCCCAGACUCCUACGGGAGGCAGCAGUGGGGAAUUUUGGACAAUGGGCGCAAGCCUGAUCCAGCCAUGCCGCGUGUCUGAAGAAGGCCUUCGGGUUGUAAAGGACUUUUGUCAGGGAAGAAAAGCUUGAGGCUAAUACCCUUGAGUGAUGACGGUACCUGAAGAAUAAGCACCGGCUAACUACGUGCCAGCAGCCGCGGUAAUACGUAGGGUGCGAGCGUUAAUCGGAAUUACUGGGCGUAAAGCGGGCGCAGACGGUUACUUAAGUCAGAUGUGAAAUCCCCGGGCUCAACCUGGGAACUGCGUUUGAAACUGGGUAGCUAGAGUAUGUCAGAGGGGGGUAGAAUUCCACGUGUAGCAGUGAAAUGCGUAGAGAUGUGGAGGAAUACCGAUGGCGAAGG
rnacentral:rRNA from 1 species